CGCGUAGGCGGGUCGGCAAGUCCGGGGUGAAAGCCCCCAGCUCAACUGGGGAAGUGCCUUGGAAACUGCCGGUCUCGAGGGAGGUAGGGGCCUGUGGAACUUCGGGUGGAGCGGUGAAAUGCGUUGAUAUCCGAAGGAACGCCGGUGGCGAAAGCGACGGGCUGGAUCUCUUCUGACGCUGAGGCGCGAAAGCUAGGGUAGCGAACG
rnacentral:rRNA from 1 species